rnacentral:lncRNA from 1 species
GUUUCCAAAUAUGACAUACCAUUUUAUAUUUCAAAUCUGAAAUAAUUCCUUUGAAAAACAAAAAAGUUAUUAGCAUUUUUAUUUGGUCCUGUCAUUCUCGAUGUUGGUCCUGUCAUUAUCAAAGUUGGUCAUGUCACAUUUUCUAAAGUUUCUUACAAAACUUUUUAUUUUUUUCUUAAAUCUAUUUAUCAAAUGAUGAAAUCUUAUUAUAUUUCAAAUUUGAGAUCAAUCCUUUGAGAAAUGAAAAAGUUAUUAGCAUUUUUCAUUUGGUCCUGUCAUUCGGUCCUGUCAUUCGGUCCAGUCAUUAGUGUAACCCU